UACGAAGGGGGCUAGCGUUGUUCGGAUUUACUGGGCGUAAAGCGCACGUAGGCGGCUUGGCAAGUCGGGUGUGAAAACUCCAGGCUCAACCUGGAGAUGCCACUCGAGACUGCUAUGGCUAGAGUCCGGUAGGGGACCACGGAAUUCCUGGUGUAGCGGUGAAAUGCGCAGAUAUCAGGAGGAACACCGGUGGCGAAGGCGGUGGUCUGGGCCGGCACUGACGCUGAGGAGCGAAAGCGUGGGGAGCAAACAGG
rnacentral:rRNA from 1 species